GGUCUCAUUGUUCUGCAGCGCUCAUGGAGAAUGUCUAACGUUAAUGCUUUGAGGCCUUUGAUAUAGGGUGACAACAGGAAUCUGGAGCGGAUCUAGAGUGUCCAAGGAUUUUUUUUUUUGUCUCUCGGAGAUGGAAGAAAUUAACAAGUCUAAUGCUUUGAGGCCUUUGAUAAAGGGUGACAACAGGAAUGUGUGAAUCUGGAAUGCUGUGUGAAAGGAGCAUGUGCAGUUGAUUUGAACGGUUGUUUAAGAUGUUGGUACAAGAGAUGUGAAGAUUCCUUCAGCUGAGCAUGCGUGAGUUCUGUAGGGGCGCAAGCAUAUCUGCAUGAGUUCUACAGGGGUACAAGCAUGAUUGCUUUUACUCUAAUUCUGGCUGUGGAAAGAUCAGCAGCUGUCUGAUUCUUCAGGGACUGAUGACGAGCAUGAUGUGCUGAUGGCAGUCACUGUGUGGUGGUGACUGCUCCUUUGUGCCAUGUGAAUAUGAAUGCGGCAUGUGUUUAAGGUCCUGGAUUGGGGCAACGUGUUGAUUGUGACCAACUAACCAAUGGCAGUCUCUUUUUAGGGAGCUCAAGAUUAUCCAGGAUGGCUCUGGAAAAACCAUAUGAACCGUUUUACCUGCAUCUGACUCCUCUGAAUGAUGCUCCAGAGGGAGCUUCGAUUCUUUAAUCGCUUUCUGAUUUGAAGUCACUGGUCGUCUUUUUUUUUUUUUUGAGCAUUUAAGUGACCUUUUCAAAGCUGUCAACUACGUUGUUACAACUGUCAAGUUUGAGGUGUCAUUACUUCAAUAAAGUCGUAAAAUCAAA